AGGGCACCACCAGGAGUGGAGCCUGCGGCUUAAUUUGACUCAACACGGGAAAACUCACCCGGCCCGGACACUGGAAGGAUUGACAGAUUGAGAGCCCUUUCUUGAUUCAGUGGGUGGUGGUGCAUGGCCGUUCUUAGUUGGUGGAGUGAUUUGUCUGGUUAAUUCCGAUAACGAACGAGACUCUAGCCUACUAAAUAGAUCGUCGGCUUACAAACGCCGACGAGACUUCUUAGAGGGACAGGCGGUGAUUCAACCGCACGAAACAGAGCAAUAACUGGUCUGUGAUGCCCUUAGAUGUCCGGGGCCGCACGCGCGCUACACUGAAGUGAUCAGCGUGCUUUUUCAACCUACUCUGUCAAGAGUGGGGAACCCAAUGAACCUUCUUCGUGAUUGGGAUAGGGGGUUGUAAUUAUUCUCCUUGAACGAGGAAUUCCCAGUAAGCGCGAGUCAUAAGCUCGCGUUGAUUACGUCCCUGCCCUUUGUACACACCGCCCGUCGCUACUACCGAUUGAAUGUUUU
rnacentral:rRNA from 1 species